CAGCAGGAAAACCAGUUGGCAACUUGGUCUUAUUUACAGUGUCCUUUACUUUCUCCCCCUCCCCUUUUUCUUCCCUCCCUUUUCCCCCAGCCCACUCAAGGCUUGCGCAGCCUGCUUGGGCUGUGUGCCACGGCCUCCGUCUGCCUAUGUGUCUUCUCCUCCGACCAACUUUGAACUCUACUGGCCAGUUUCAGCCUUCAGUUUCCUUUACUUUCUCCCCCUCCCCUUUUUCUUCCCUCCCUUUUCCCCCAGCCCACUCAAGGCUUGCGCAGCCUGCUUGGGCUGUGUGCCACGGCCUCCGUCUGCCUAUGUGUCUUCUCCUCCGACCAACUUUGAACUCUACUGGCCAGUUUCAGUCAGGUUUGCCAGAUGCGUGGAAGUUGCCCAAGCGACUGAAUUUCCCCAAGUUUCCUGAAAAUAUCUGGCUGGGUAGAAGAGAGAACUUCUCAGCUGCAAGAAUGAAUGGAAUAUUGCUCUUUUAUCCAGGUGUCUGCUACUUUCAUCUGGUCACCUCCCACAUGCCAUGAAAAUGUUAUCUAAUAACAAUAUAAUAUGCAUAGGUAGAUACUCAUUCUUUUGUAAUUUGCCACUACUGAGAACAUCUUGCUAUUUCUCACUAUAGGAAAAGUCGAAGAAGCAUCAGAAAGACUGAUCUCAUACGAUCAUUCUUAUCUGUAGAGAAAACAGCCUGACUCUUGAAAGAAUAUCACUUUACAUCCAGCAAAGCUUUUUUUGACUCUACGGACUGAAUGAAUUUAUUCUAGCCAAAGGGAGCCUCAAAACAGUGAAAGUUACUUGAAGACUGCUGUGACUUUCUGGCAUGGUAUUUGCAAACUUGAGAUACUGUUUCCCCCUGUAUCAUACUGCCACCACUGUGAUCAGCAGAACUGAAAUUUGGUCUCUAUGAAAGGAAAGGGCUGCUGGGAAAGAUUUUUUUGUGAAAGGACACUUUUCUGAAGUAUUUUUUCUAAAGUCUCAAGACAGUACCAAGUUGCUUACUGUUUCGAUGUGCUUCAAUUCCAUCUAUUUCAGAAAGCAUUGGUGGAUGAGGAAAGGGAUUUCCUAAUGUUUUAGGACAAUGUUUCCCUCUUGCCCAGAAUUUUGUUCUUUCGGGGUGUAAGUGCUAAGCAAUUUCUGAAAGCCAGGUCCUCCUGUUGGUUCUUUUUUCAGGCAUAACGAAAACUGAAGUACACAAACGCUGUAGAAAAAUAUGUGUCGUAGCAGAUAAAGAACAAUUCCCGGAAUUUCCACAAUCUUUGUAUCUGAUCUUGGACUGGUCAGUUAACUUCUCUGUGCUGCAGUUUUUAAUUCUGUGAAAAAUAAGUUACCUUCCUUCAUUCUGAGUCUAAGGCCAGGGGCACAUAUCCUCCUUUACCUCCACACCUGCCAGGUGAAGAAGUUACCACGCUUAACUGCCUCUUUUCUGGACUACCAGAACAGAUUAGCUGGCUGAAAGUUGUCUGCUGAGUUUCUUGUGUGAUUGCUCUCUCUCAGUCACUGCAAUCAAUGGCCUUUCAGUCAACAUUGACAGGUAAUGUUCUUUAAUAAAGAUCUACAGUUUGUUUAAGCUAAUUCA
ensembl:lncRNA